rnacentral:rRNA from 1 species
UUAAGCAAAGAAGAGCGCAGGGUGGAUGCCUUGGCACUAAGAGCCGAAGAAAGACGUGAUAAGCUGCGAAAAGCUGCGGGGAGAUGCAAAUAAUCUUUGAUCCGCAGAUGUCUGAAUGGGGAAACCCGGUACGAAGAACUCGUAUCAUCCAUACGCCAAUCCAUAACGUAUGGAGGGGAACCCGGUGAACUGAAACAUCUAAGUAGCCGGAGGAAGAGAAAGAAACAUCGAUUUUGUUAGUAGCGGCGAGCGAAAGCGAAAGAGGCCAAACCGGAGUGCGUGCACUCCGGGGUUCGGACCGCAUUUAAGAUUCAGUGAUUCUAGCAGAAAGGUUUGGGAAAGCCUGCCGGAGAGGGUGAAAGCCCCGUAAGCGAAAGGAGAACUGACUGAGCGGGAUCCAGAGUACAUCGAGACACGAGAAACCUUGAUGGAAUGAGCGGGGACCACCCCGUAAGCCUAAAUACUACUUAGUGACCGAUAGCGCAUAGUACUGUGAAGGAAAGGUGAAAAGGACCCCGGGAGGGGAGUGAAAGAGAACCUGAAACCCUGUGUUUACAAGCUGUGGAAGUUCUUUAAAUGAACAACCGCGUACUUUUUGUAGAACGGUCCGGCGAGUUGCGGAUACUGGCAAGGUUAAGCACUUAAGGUGCGGAGCCGAAGGGAUACCAAGUCUUAACAGGGCGUAAAGUCAGUAUACGCAGACCCGAAACCGGGUGAUCUAUCCAUGUCCAGGUUGAAGUUGUCGUAAAAGACAAUGGAGGACCGAAGCCACAUCCGUUGAAAAGGGUGGGCAUGAGGUGUGGAUAGGGGAGAAAUUCCAAUCGAACCCGGAGAUAGCUGGUUCUCCUCGAAAUAGCUUUAGGGCUAGCCUCGAUUUAGUCUUAUGGAGGUAGAGCACUGAAUUUCCGCGGGGGCGUCAAAGCUUACCAAAGAAUAUCAAACUCCGAAUGCCAUGUAGAUGAUGAUCGGGAGUCAGACUGCACGAGAUAAGUUGGGCAGUCAAAAGGGAAAGAGCCCAGACCACCGGCUAAGGUCCCAAAGUGCGUGUUAAGUGGAAAAGGAUGUGGGAAUUCGAAGACAACUAGGAUGUUGGCUCAGAAGCAGCCAUACAUUCAAAGAGUGCGUAACAGCUCACUAGUCGAGAGUUCCUGCGCCGAAAAUGUCCGGGGCUGAAACACGACACCGAAGCCGUGGACUCGCAAUGCGAGUGGUAGAGGAGCAUUCUUAAAACCGACGAAGCUGUACCGAAAGGAGCAGUGGAGGGAUAAGAAGAGAGAAUGCCGGAAUGAGUAGCGAGAGAAAGGUGGGAAUCCUUUCGGCCGAAUAUCUAAGGUUUCCAGAGUAAAGCUGAUCUGCUCUGGGUAAGUCGGGGCCUAAGCACAGGUCGCAAGACGUAAGCGAUGGAUAACAGGUUUAGAUUCCUGUACCACGCAUUAUCAGAACUGUAGGGACGCAUGUGGAAAGCACGGGCCGGGAAUGGAAAGACCGGUACAAGCGGGGUAGGAGUACAAUAGGCAAAUCCGUUGUAUGAUCCGAAGACGUGAUGUGGAGCGAAAUAAAGUAGUGAAGCGUGUGAGCCAUGUGCCGAGAAAAGCUGCUAUUGUGUAAUGCGUGCCCGUACCGUAAACCGACACAGGUGGAUGAGGAGAGAAUCCUAAGGCCGACGGAAGAAGCAUUGUUAAGGAAUUCGGCAAAAUGACCCCGUAACUUCGGGAGAAGGGGUGCCUGCGAGAGCAGGCCGCAGAGAAUAGGCUCAAGCAACUGUUUAGCAAAAACACAGGUCUAUGCGAAACCGAAAGGUGAAGUAUAUGGGCUGACGCCUGCCCGGUGCUGGAAGGUUAAGAGGAGAGGUUAGCGUAAGCGAAGCUUUGAAUUUAAGCCCCAGUAAACGGCGGCCGUAACUAUAACGGUCCUAAGGUAGCGAAAUUCCUUGUCGGGUAAGUUCCGACCCGCACGAAAGGCGUAAUGAUUUGAGCACUGUCUCGACAAUGCAUCCGGUGAAAUUGAAGUACCAGUGAAGAUGCUGGUUACCCGCGCCAGGACGGAAAGACCCCA